UACCUAGUAGUAUAGGAUAGCCACUAGAAAUGGUGGGUAAUACUGUAUAAUCCCUGCGGGGGAAAGAUUUAUCGCUACAUGAUGAGCCUAUGUUAGAUUAGCUAGUUGGUGGGGUAAUGGCCUACCAAGGCAGUGAUCUAUAGCUGGUCUGAGAGGAUGAUCAGCCACACUGGAACUGAGACACGGUCCAGACUCCUACGGGAGGCAGCAGUGGGGUAUAUUGGACAAUGGGCGCAAGCCUGAUCCAGCUAUGCCGCGUGAGUGAGGAAGGCCUUAGGGUUGUAAAACUCUUUCAGUGGGGAAGAUAAUGACGCUACCCACAGAAGAAGUCCCGGCAAACUCCGUGCCAGCGGCCGCGGUAAUACGGAGGGG
rnacentral:rRNA from 1 species